rnacentral:tRNA from 1 species
GCCCCUGUAGUUUAAUGGAUAAAACGUGGGAUUCCGAAUCCCAUGAUCGAAGUUCGAUUCUUCGUGGGGGCA